GACGAACGCUGGCGGCGUGCUUAACACAUGCAAGUCGAACGGAAAGGCCCUGCUUUUGUGGGGUGCUCGAGUGGCGAACGGGUGAGUAACACGUGAGUAACCUGCCCUUGACUUUGGGAUAACUUCAGGAAACUGGGGCUAAUACCGGAUAGGAGCUCCUGCUGCAUGGUGGGGGUUGGAAAGUUUCGGCGGUUGGGGAUGGACUCGCGGCUUAUCAGCUUGUUGGUGGGGUAGUGGCUUACCAAGGCUUUGACGGGUAGCCGGCCUGAGAGGGUGACCGGCCACAUUGGGACUGAGAUACGGCCCAGACUCCUACGGGAGGCAGCAGUGGGGAAUAUUGCACAAUGGGCGGAAGCCUGAUGCAGCAACGCCGCGUGCGGGAUGACGGCCUUCGGGUUGUAAACCGCUGUCGCCGGUGACGAAGCGUGAGUGACGGUAAUGGGUAAAGAAGCACCGGCUAACUACGUG
rnacentral:rRNA from 1 species